rnacentral:lncRNA from 10 species
CUCCUGGCCGCCUCAGUUCCUGCCACUCUGGGCUGAGCUUAAUGUGCUACUGGGGUCAACCCACAUCCUGCUGGCCACUCUGAGUCCAACAGGGUCCAUCUCAGGUGUGGGAGACACCAUUGCUCCCUAGUUGUGCCAAGCCAUCCAUGAAGCCACUAAAACGGCAGGGCUCUGAGCCCAGCACACGGACUGACUCUUCAUUUUCUACUUGGCAGGAGGCACUUGAAGUACAGACAAAGAGAAAAGUCUACCAAGGAAAGGGAGAAGAGCAAGCUGAGGACGCCAAAGAAUCUUGUUUGGGAUCUGCAGAUAGCAACAAGAAUCUUUAAUAACCAGAGACAACACAGGAAGAUACUGGGCUUAGGUCUUGACUUCCAUAUGCUUGCAAAUUCUGCUGGGAAAGAAAACAGAAGAGGAAAAUGGAAAUUGCAUGAACAACAGAGAGAUGGUAUUUCCAGACAAGGGAAUAAAUUCCCGGAAGCAACUGGCCAAGGAAUGAAAAUCCUGGAGAACAGAGUGGAAGAAACGCGUAUUCCACAUUUCCUGUUGAUUUUCUUUCCUCCCUAAACACUGACCUCCCGCAGUCUUCACUAGCAGGUGAGGUCACCUGUAGAGGUCAUGCUGCGGAGUCCCGAGUCCCUGAUUAUAUUCAAGACGUGGAGCUCUCUUUUUCCCGUCCUGCUUUCUUUCCAGAAGUGCCUCAGAUGCAUCCUCCCCUUCUCUUUUCUCCACAUGAAGACGUCACUGACCAUCUUCUCUGGUUUGCUUUCCAACACCGAGCACCAAGUGCUUCAAAGGUCAUGGUGCCCUGGGGCCGAGAGCUACUUAUGUGGGCAUUUAUAACCAAAUAAAUAUUGAAAUGGCCCACAAAGCAAAUGUUAGUGGUAACCAACAGCGGUAAAACUGGGUACAUGGGACCCUGAACCUUCUUGAAUAUUCCCCAUGAGACCCUGGGCCGACCUUCGGGCUUUCCAGUGUGCUCAGAAAAUCCUCCGUGGCUCCCAGCCCCAGCUUAGUCUUUCAACGGUCCUCGGACUGAAGCAAGAGACAGGGAAGGAAUUGUCCAAGGUUUUCCAGCAUGCUGAGAACACUUACCAUGGUGGAGCCUGGCACGUACUGGCUCUUUGAUGCAUGUGUAUUGGUCUCAAGUAGCCAGAAGCAUCUCCUCUGAGAGCCCUUGCCCUCCAGUUUAAAUGGCAAAUGGAAGGGAAUGGGUUCUGGAAGGCCCCAGGUGGGCUGGGGUGGGUUCUGGAGACCAUCUUCCAACUCCUGUUCAGGAGGAGGGUUGGUCAGAUCAGCUCUGUGGCCACCUGGGCUCUGGAGGGGCGAGAUACGGGCAGGUGCGGCCACAGGAGGGAGAGCACCAUGUGCGGGGGAAGCCCACAGCUGGAACCAAAAGGCCCCAGGAGGGAUCCUGGCUCUGACAUCUCCCAGCCGUGUGGCCUUGGGCAAGGUCCCUGACUUGGACCUCAGCCUCCUCAUCUGUAAAACAGGCAGAACAGUAAUACCGACCUUGUAGGUUGUAUAGAGUUCAUAUACAUCAAGCACUUACCACAGUGCCUGGCGGACCGCAUGCCCUAAACACACAAUCCGUGAAAUGAAUCCAUCAGCAAGCAGCUGCUAGGGGCAGUGUGGGGCAGAGAGGCAGCUGCCUGCUGGAACUGGCUGACAGGAGGAUGAGUGUGUGGCAGGAGGAACGCUCUGCACAGAGGACACUAGGUAGCGUCACCUGUCUCUUACCCUGUGUCUCCACUGGAAUGGAAUGUCAGACUCGCACCAUGCAUUCCUUUCCCUGCCAAAACGCCUCCUCUUAGCAGUGAGCAAGAAAGUUGUUCGAGUGGAUGAAGCCAAAAGCCCAUUUGGCAAGAGUGCUGUUUUGGAAAAUGCUUAGCGGUGUGGGUUGGGAUGAGGUUUUCUGUGCCUUUCCAUUAUUUCUUCAGCUUCAUGUAACCCUGACUGAGCAAUGCUCAGCAGAGUGAAGGCUGGGCAGCAGAUGGACAAGAUUUUCUCAAACUCCUUUUUAAGCCAAUUUCAAAAUAGAGAGAGGGAAAAAUCCUUGUUUUCUCUUUUCGGUUUUGAGAGGUUUCAUAUGCAGACACAAUUUUAAAUUUUAUUUUUUUUGCCCCCAAUGAGAUGUUUGGAGAUGGUGGUACUAGAACAGGAAGGAAUUUAUAAGUAUUGGGGAAUUUUUCAUCCCAAUUCCCAUAUCCUCCUAUAAUUCAAGGAGUGAAUGGGUAGUGUUUUUGUUUUUGUGAGAGGGGUGGCGGAGGGUAGAGAGAGAAAGAGAGAGAGACAGAGAGAGAUUACAUAGAGGUGUCCAAAAUGAACACAGUAAAAACCAGUUUUGAUUAAUUCUGCAAUAUUAAGUAGGCAGCCAAAAAUUUUGGUCUGCUUAAUUCUUAGCUCAUCUAAGUCUCCAGUUGACUGAUUGAUUGAUUGAAUGACUUAUUCAACAUGCGCUAGCCAGACACUGGUCUAGGGCCCAGGAAUUCAGCAAUAAAUGAAACAAGACCAA